GGAUGCGAGGGUGAUCUGGCUGUGACAUCUCUCACCCCAAUGAUCACCAGGGUUGAUUCAGCUGAUCUGGCUGCCCAGGUGGGUGUUCCCUUUCUCCCUUACCCCCUGUAUGUGUCCCUCCUGAAGCUGCAUGCUGAGUAGAAGAGGAUGACCUUUCCCCAUAGAAGGGGACCAUUCUUCAGUUGAGGGUAUAGGAGUAACUGCUCUCCCCUGCUAGAAGCUCUAAACAAGCUCUCAGUGUCCAUUUGUAGGAGAACACAAGGUAGUAAAGAUUCCAAGACUCCAGACACCUCCAAAUGAGGCACUGCACAUGAAAGUCUGCUUUUCUUA
rnacentral:snRNA from 1 species